rnacentral:rRNA from 1 species
CAAUAGCGUAUAUUAAAGUUGUUGCGGUUAAAAAGCUCGUAGUUGGAUUUCUGUUGAGGACGGCCGGUCCGCACUAUGUGCGUGUAUCUGGUUCGGCCUCGGCAUCCUCUCGAAAGCCGUUUCUGCGCUUGAUUGCGUGGUUCGGACUUCGGGACUUUUACUUUGAGGAAAUUAGAGUGUUCACGGCAGGCAAGCGCCUUGAAUAUAUUAGCAUGGAAUAAUAAUAUAGGAUCUUGGUCCUAUUUUGUUGGUUUCUAGGGCUAAGAUAAUGAUUAAUAGGGACAAUUGGGGGCAUUCGUAUUAACGCGUCAGGGGUGGAAUUCUUGGAUUGCGUUACGACGAACUACUGCGAAAGCAUUUGCCAAGGAUGUUUUCAUUGA